UGGGGAAUAUUGCACAAUGGGCGCAAGCCUGAUGCAGCCAUGCCGCGUGUAUGAAGAAGGCCUUCGGGUUGUAAAGUACUUUCAGCGGGGAGGAAGGUGUUGUGGUUAAUAACCGCAGCAAUUGACGUUACCCGCAGAAGAAGCACCGGCUAACUCCGUGCCAGCAGCCGCGGUAAUACGGAGGGUGCAAGCGUUUAUCGGAAUUACUGGGCGUAAAGCGCACGCAGGCGGUCUGUCAAGUCGGAUGUGAAAUCCCCGGGCUCAACCUGGGAACUGCAUUCGAAACUGGCAGGCUAGAGUCUUGUAGAGGGGGGUAGAAUUCCAGGUGUAGCGGUGAAAUGCGUAGAGAUCUGGAGGAAUACCGGUGGCGAAGGCGGCCCCCUGGACAAAGACUGACGCUCAGGUGCGAAAGCGUGGGGAGCAAACA
rnacentral:rRNA from 1 species